rnacentral:tRNA from 1 species
GGGGAUUUAGCUCAGUGGUAGAGCGCUUGCCUAGCAAGUGAAAGGCCCUGGAUUCAGUCCCCA